rnacentral:rRNA from 1 species
UACGUAGGGUGCAAGCGUUGUCCGGAAUUACUGGGCGUAAAGAGCUCGUAGGUGGUUUGUCGCGUUGUUCGUGAAAACUCACAGCUUAACUGUGGGCGUGCGGGCGAUACGGGCAGACUGGAGUACUGCAGGGGAGACUGGAAUUCCUGGUGUAGCGGUGGAAUGCGCAGAUAUCAGGAGGAACACCGGUGGCGAAGGCGGGUCUCGUGGGCAGUAACUGACGCUGAGGAGCGAAAGCGUGGGGAGCAAACAGG